rnacentral:rRNA from 1 species
AUUGAACGCUGGCGGCAUGCCUUACACAUGCAAGUCGAACGGCAGCGGACCUUCGGGUGCCGGCGAGUGGCGAACGGGUGAGUAAUGCAUCGGAACGUGCCAUUGAGUGGGGGAUAACGUAGCGAAAGUUGCGCUAAUACCGCAUAUUCUGUGCGCAGGAAAGCAGGGGACCGCAAGGCCUUGCGCUCUUUGAGCGGCCGAUGUCAGAUUAGCUAGUUGGUGAGGUAACGGCUUACCAAGGCGACGAUCUGUAGCGGGUCUGAGAGGAUGAUCCGCCACACUGGAACUGAGACACGGUCCAGACUCCUACGGGAGGCAGCAGUGGGGAAUUUUGGACAAUGGGCGCAAGCCUGAUCCAGCAAUGCCGCGUGUGUGAAGAAGGCCUGCGGGUUGUAAAGCACUUUCAGUGGGGAAGAACAGAUUCGGGUCAAUACCCCGGAGCCCUGACGUUACCCACAGAAGAA